rnacentral:rRNA from 1 species
UGCAAGUCGAGCGAGAAGUGACUUCGGUCGCGAGUAAAGCGGCGAACGGGUGAGUACAACGUGGAUAAUCUACCCUAGGGUCUGGGACAACCCCAAGAAAUCGGGGCUAAUACCGGAUAAGACCACAGUAUCCAAGGAUACAGCGGUAAAAGAUUUAUCGCCUUUGGAUGAGUCCACGCCCCAUCAGGUAGUUGGUAAGGUAAAGGCUUACCAAGCCUAAGACGGGUAGCCGGCCUUAGCGGGUGAACGGCCACGUGGGGACUGAGACACGGCCCUGACUCCUACGGGAGGCAGCAGUGGGGAAUAUUGGGCAAUGGGCGAAAGCCUGACCCAGCGAUGCCGCGUGAGGGAUGAAGGCCUUCGGGUUGUAAACCUCUGUCAGGAGGGACGAUGGGACACUUGUGUCUUGACGGUACCUCCAGAGGAAGCCCCGGCUAACUCCGUGCCAGCAGCCGCGGUAAUACGGAGGGGGCAAGCGUUGCUCGGAAUUACUGGGCGUAAAGGGUCCGCAGGCUGUCAGGCAAGUUGGUUGUGAAAUCCCAAGGCUUAACCUUGGAAUUGCAUCCAAAACUGCCUGACUAGAGUCCAAGAGAGGUUGGCGGAAUUCCCGGUGUAGCGGUGAAAUGCAUAGAUAUCGGGAGGAACACCAGAGGCGAAGGCGGCCAACUGGCUUGGUACUGACGCUCAGGGACGAAAGCGUGGGUAGCAAACCGGAUUAGAUACCCGGGUAGUCCACGCCCUAAACGAUGGAUGCUAGGUAGGGGGGAAUUUAUUUCUCCCUGCCGUAGUUAACGCAUUAAGCAUCCCGCCUGGGAGAGUACGGUCGCAAGGCUGA